UUGCCAUCUUUGGGGAACUGCUGACUCUACUGUCAAAAAAAAAAAGAGGCAGAUUGUGUAGCAGGGAAUAAGCCCAAAAUUCAUAGUGCCAUCCUUGACUCCUCUCCUGUUACCAGGAUUCUGCUUCCUGGAUUUGCUCCACGUUCAGGCUUCAUCAGCUCUGCACUGAUGGGUUGACUGGAUACUGACUCCUCCUUUAUUUUCCAGUGCUGGAGAUCAAACCCUUGGUAGAGGAGCUACACCCCCGCCCCUCCUGCUCUGUUUGAGAAUAAACACAGAGGGGAUGUGUUCAAACCUCUUUUAUAAAACUGUCCUUAUUUUCUUUGGGUAAUUCCUUUCCCUUCAAGCUUCAUGAAUUUCAUAAACCCAGCAUGAUGCUGCAAACCAGGCUUGGGUGAGAUGCCCAGGACCCUGGGUCUUCCCUGUGUGUGUCCUUGUCUAGAGCCUGGUGAUAGUUGACACUCUGUCUGCUGAGCUGCUGUUCAUCUUUCAGGCUCAAGUCUGCCUCCUUCCUCCACUUCUCCCCUGAAUGUCUUCAACUGAGGCUUCAAGUAAGGUGUUUCUCCCUCAGAAGACCAGACCGUGGGCAGCAGAAGGGAGGAGCAACAGUCUGUCGUGUUCACUGCCCUGUAGCCAGCACCUAGCACAGGGCCUGGCAUACAGGAAGUGCUUAUUGAAGGUCUAGGGCCUGAAUGAAGGAACAGACCCCUCCAUCUUUCAAAUGAUGCAAAAAGAAGAGAAAGUUCUCCAAGUAACAGCUCCCAGGUUACACCCAGUUGUGUUCACAAGCACCCAGCAGAGAUGUUGAUAGAAAGAAGCCCUGGAGCUGGUCAGUGAAAUUAUCGCCCUAGGCGAGGUGAGAUCCUGGCUUCCUGGGAAUGUUCGGAAUCUUGGACGUCAAUAUCCUGGUCCCGCCACCUUUGGAUCUGAGCAUCCAGAGAAACUGGGUCAGAAUACUAUAGCGCCUAGAGUAUUUCUUACAACUAUGAAUCUACAAUUGUCUCAAAAUUAAAAGUUGAAUUUUUAAAACA